GUCUCAGUUCGGAUUGCAGGCUGCAACUCGCCUGUAUGAAGUCGGAAUUGCUAGUAAUCGCGGAUCAGCAUGCCGCGGUGAAUACGUUCCCGGGCCUUGUACACACCGCCCGUCACACCAUGAGAGCCGGGAACACCCGAAGUCCGUAGUCUAACCGUAAGGAGGACGCGGCCGAAGGUGGGUUUGGUAAUUGGGGUGAAGUCGUAACAAGGUAAC
rnacentral:rRNA from 1 species